UCCAAGACCCAGCUGUGUUGAUACCAAUAUCCCUCUUUGUCAGUUACAAUUUUCACACUCUAUUAGAAUACUGGGGGGCUGGAUAUUCAAUCCGAGCAUGCUGGAACAAUUUGAGGAUGUGGAGAAUAACCGCAGUGACCUCAUGGUUAUUUGGAUUUUUAAGCGUCAUUCUGAAGCUCCUGGGGUUAUCGGAGACCGUCUUCGAAGUUACAAAAAAAGACCAAUCUACUACUCCUGGGGAGGGCAGUGACAAGGAUUCUGGUCGGUUCACCUUUGAUGGGUCUCUGAUUUUUGUUCCGGCCACUACUCUUUUGUUGGUGCACCUGAUGGCACUUGUUACAGCCUUGUUAGGACUAUUUGAUCUUGUCGGGAUUGAAUCAAGAAUAGGGGAGAUAAUAUGUAGUGUGUGGGUGGUGCUAUGCUUCUCGCCGUUUCUUAAAGGCUUGUUUGGGAAAGGAAAAUAUGGGAUACCCAAAUCCACUAUAUGCAAGUCAGCAGCUUUGGCGUUUCUUUUUCUUGCUUGCACUAUUACAGUAAGAAAAUGACAUUAGUAAAAACUAAAAACCGUAACAAUUUAUUAAGCAUAAUUGUUAGUCAAGUGUGUUAUGACAUGUAUUAUCCGGUUCAAUGUACGAACAAAUUAAUUUAUGCAAUUAUAAUGGCAGUUUGCUUUUAACCAUUGCCGUAGCGGCAGUACCUCCAUGAAUUGAAAUGAAGUAAUGAUCACAACCGUGAGUUUGAAGUAAUGAUUAGUGAAAAAAAGACGAGGAAAAAAAAAAGAAAAAAAAAUUACCUUUUAUCAUAUAUUCUCUUCAUUCUCCACUCAUUAAUAUAUAUGAAUAUGGAAGAUCAUGGGUUCCCUACAUCCCAAAAAAAAAGAGAUUAAUUUCAAGAAUAUAUUGAUUAAACCGAGGAAAAUAAAACACAUAAAAUAGAAAAUUAAGUGAUUUAAAUUCAAAAGAUCAAGUCAAAAUAGAAAAAAAUCUUAGAAAAGUAAAGUUGCAUGUUGAAAAUUAGGUUAUCAUUCUUGAUUAAUUUGCUUAGUUUUUGGAGGUAUGCUACUAGGACUCUUUCCUUUCUUCGUCUUAAUAUGAGACCUAUUACCUUUCUUAAUAUCCAAAAUUUGGUUUUAAGGUAAUUUGACAUACUCAUUAGAUUAUUAACAUGCGACUAAAUUUUUCAAAGAGCCUACUACUACAACACUUACUAGCAUUAUGUCUUAACCUCUUACAUGUAGUGCACUUAGGGUCUUGCUUAGAGUUAGAUUUCCCAUAAGAGGAACAAACUUCCUAUGUUUUUAUAAAAGUAGUCUUUUCACUUGUGGGAGUUUCACAUAUAAUUAUAUAUCCUAAACUUCUCUUGCCUCUAAACAUUCCCAUUUUGAAUCAUUUCAUUAAAAUUUUAGGGUGAAGAUGAAAAUUUUAUCAUGUCGACUUUCAAAGAUCUUUUUCCUAUGGUCUAACUUUGAGGUUAAGGAUUUAUUCUUUUCAAGUACAAUGUGAUAUUCAAAAUCAAGGAACCUAAUUUUUCCUUAGCAAAUUGUAAUGUUCACAAGUUGUGUCCCUAAUCUUAUUACCCAAAUUAGUUUUUUUAAGUCUCAUAGGAACUUAAUUUUUCAUUCAAUUCAUUUUUCUCAUAUUCAAGAUAUUUAAUGUGAGAAAUCUUUUUGUUUAAAAUAAUUUUAAGCUUAACUAUAACACCUUAUACCCUGAGGCCAAGGGCCCUACGGUCAUUCCAUAUCAAAUUGAAACCAAAACUAAAAUAAAAUAUCUAGCCACAAAUUCAAUAAUUUUCUCAAACACUUAAAUCAAAAUUCUAAAAAUUAAUAAUGAAUUCAAUCUUAAGUAAACAAUCCCAUAAAAAAAUUAAAAAAGAAAAAAAAUCAAUUCUAAAGUAGUUUAUAAUAGAAGCAUCUUUCCUAUCUUGAUUUUUCUUCAUUGAUGUCACUUAUACUUGAAAAUGGGAAUUAUAGAAAAGGGUGAACUUGAUAGCUCAGUAUAAAAAAUAAUUUAAUAAGAAUGAUUAAUAUAGUAUAAAAUUAAACACUGAGAGAUAUCAUUUUUUUUUUACGAAAAUCAAUUAGUGAGUAAUCUCUUUUAAUUCAAUAGUUUAGUUCACUUUCUUUGAAAAAUUUAACACUUUCUAUUGAAAGAUUAAACAACAUAAUGCACUUUGCAUAAUAAUUCAUAUAAAAAAGAAUUUUACAAACAAAGAUUUUACUCUAAUCCACUCACAAUAACACCAUGCCCAAAUAGUUGAAUUUGUAUUAGGUGGCUAGCCUCAAAAUGUUAUUAGUGAAUGGAACGGAUUCCAAUCCAUAGUAUACCAAAGGCCAAUAACACCCCUAUUAGCUAGGGUUGUGUUGUAUUAUUACCCUCACUAAGGGUAAUAAAGGUCAACAACUUAUCCCUAUUGACUAGAGCCACUUAGUGUUUCUAAAAUCAUUUUAAUUAAUUAGAAAAAAAGGUAAAAUUCACUUACAUAAUAAUCAAACAGAUCACAUGAUGUUACUAAUUUAUUUUAUGAACAAAACACAACAUAUUUCAAUAAAAUAUUACCUAAUCCACUUUACGAAAUUUAAACAAUUUUGAUACUUUACUAAAUAGAGGAAGACAAAUAAAAAGGUAGAAAAUAACUCACUACACUAUUAACCCUUACCUUGAAGAACCCACUUAAAUUCUUGAAAGAAUUAAUCCACACCUUUAAAUUAUAGAACGAAGCAAUAUGAAGCAAAUACUAAAACUUCUUCUUUCUAACUCUUCGAAUCAAAGUUCUCCGGAGACUUUUUUUUUCUUCUUUAUUUUGUGUUUUCAAUUUUUUGAUAAUAUGAAUAAUUCAUAACAAAAUAAAGUUGGUGGGCAAUUAAAGGGAGCAAAAAUAUCUCACUUAAUUUGUUUUUCAAUUUUUUAAAAUAUAUAAAUAUCCCUAAAUUCUCCUUCCUAAUCACUAGAUUCAAUAGAACUAAUUUUAGUACCUGAGGAUAGUGAAACAGUGAAGGCAAUAAGGUUAUUGUUAAGAAUAUUAGGCUAAUCCAACCUAUGGUAAUCACCCUAGAGGAAGGGUGAAAAGGGUGAUAGUCUCUUUUUGCAAAUUAAAACUAUGUAAAUGUAAGAGACAAUUAUAUGCAAGUAUAUAAUAAGCAAUAUAUAGACAAUUGCAUAUAAAUUAAAGAGUAGGGAAAAGAAAAUGCAAACACAAGAGUUUAUAGUGGUUCGGCGCAACCCGACCUACAUCCACUCUUCUCUAGCUUCAAUCCGAGCGUGAGGUUCCACUAAUUCAAGGCUUCCAAACCAAGCCUUCAAGUAAUACAAUUGAAUUAUGGUUCCAAUUCACCAUCUUGGACUUUUGGCUCCAAGCACCCUUUACACUUCUCAAGAGAUAUCCCACUCUUGAACAACUUCCUCUCAAUGAUUUACAAAUAAAAGAUCUCACAAAAAUCCUAACACAAGAACUUUAAGCUCAAUUGAUACAAGAAAACUAGGAUUGAAAGGUGCACUAAGGAUAUGCAAGUUUCAGAACAAUGGUGCACUCAAAAACACUCUUCUAAGGCUCAAAUAUAAUCAAGAAAGAUUUGGGAAGGUUAAGUUUUUUAAACAAUGAAGAUUGGAGCCUUUUUAUAGAAGAGAAAAGUCAAACUAGCCGUUUGGGGGUUCGACCAGUCGAGUUAGGGGUCGACCGGUUGACUAGCCGUUAACAUUUAAUGCUUGGCAGGUGACCGUUGGACCUCGACCGGACCUCAACCGGACCUCGACCGGACUUCAACCAGUUGAGGUUCAACCUUGACCGGUUGAACAACCGUUCUGGAAGAAAGAGAAAGUUUUUUGCACCCUCGACCGGUUGAACUAGGGGUCUACCCGGGCCUCGACCGGCUGAGCUGUGGGUUGACCCGGACCUCGACCGAUUGAGCUGGGGGUCGACCCAGACCUCGAUCGGUUGAGCUUGCGGUCGACCGGUUCCUCACCCGGUUCAACCGAUUGAGUCGUUUUUUGGCUCAACAACCACCUUUUUCAACUUAAAACCUUUUAAAAUAAGUUUGAAAGACAUUUAACACAAAGUUUUAGUUGAAAACAUGAAAUCAUCCAAUUCUUAAAAUAUUUAAAACAAAAUAACUCUUGAAUGAUUUUGGUGCAUAAGUAAAGAAUGUAAUGCAUGAAAAUCCUAGUGCACUAACAACCUUACAAAGAGAUCUUAUGAAGUUUGGAUCUUGAAAAACUUUUUUUUUUGAGGUGGUCUUCUUCUUCAUGAUUUCUCCUUGGCUUGAUUUGUCUUUGUGAUUGCCACUUUGGAAAUCGUCUUGCUUAAUCACACUUGAAAUAUAGUCAUUAGUUCUAAAGCUUAUUUUGUUAUCAUCAAAAUCAAGAUUAAUCAAACCUUGGUUUCACAGUUAUCAUUGUCUUUUUUUGUUGAUCUUCGUGUAAUAAUUCCUAGUAAAGAAAUUAAAGAAAAACAAAAGAAAACACGCACAGAUUUAAUGUGGUUAGGUAGAUUGCCUACGUCCAUGGGAACAAGGAAAAAGACUUUCACUAUAUUUCAAUUAAUGUUACAUAAAAGGGUAUUUAUACUAACCCUCAAGUAUUGAAAUUCCAAAAAUACCCUUGAACAGUACCACGGGGAGGCGUUGUCCCCCGUACCCCCCCAACCUAUCGUUUACCCUUAACAAUAAAAAUGCAAAAUUAAAUGGCAAAUGUCAUCGUUCUACUUCGACAUUUGCCCAUUUUUCUCCAUAUGUCUUUUACUCAAUAUGAGCCACAUAUAAUUCAAUUAAUACCUACACUCAUUUUUUUUUGUCCCUGAUGCAACAAUCCCUCAUUCUCCUUAAUGGAUCCCUUGAAACCCUUAUCAAAAUUUGCACUAUGUGUCUGUCAAACCUUUGUUGUUGAUGAAAGGUUCUUGUAAGAAAGAUUUGAAAGGUUUCAAAGAUGGAUGUACAAGCUUUAAAAAUAAUGAUAUUUUUUUAAGGUUUAAGGGUCCACCAAUUUUUAAUAAAACAAAUCUAUGUAUACUUGCAAAACCCUAAUAAUUAAUUAUGGGGAGUUUCUGAAUUUUAAACCACUUUAAAAAUGACUUUCUAGAGUCAGAAAUGAAGGGAGAGACAAAAAAUCAUCAACAAGAUGUUUGAAUGCUUGUGGGGGGAAAGGGGAAAGAAAGCUUAAAUGCCCUUGAGAAGCAUUUGAACACCCCUCAAUACAUUUGAAUGCUCACCUUUAAUUAUCUCUUUAUUUUUGCAAUAUUUCGAGCUUUUCUCCAUAUGUUUCAUCCCAAUUUCAUAUUUUAUCCAUUCCAUAAGUUUUAUCAACUUUAGAUGCAUACAUAUCUCAAAAAACAUUGACAUUGAAAAGAUUCAACGUUAGCCUUGAAGAAGUCUGAAGUUAAAUAGAAGUUGACAAGACCUAAGGAAGUAUGUCACGUCUAAUCAAUAAGAAAUAUAACAAAAUUGUCAACUAAAUCUAAUACAUCAACAAAUUCAUAUGAGAAGAAAUCAGUUCCCUCUUGUAAUACAAGCUUUGGUGUGUAGUUAAUCCUAUAUGAAUUUUUUAUAUUGUCUUUGAGGAAAGAAAAGUGGCUUUAAAAAUCACCUGUGGGGAUUAAGAUCAAGUGGUAUAUAUGUAUGUACGUAUGUAUGGAGAGAUAGAGAAAUCAACCUCCUUGUGCAAUUGCAUUUUCCAUAGUUAUUGUUGCAUACCAAAUGUUGUUUCAUAUGGUUCAUCUUUGAGACCAUACAAUCACUACCUACCCAAUUUGAAAUGAAACUCUAUUUUGGUAAUGCUUUAUCUAAGAAUGAAAAUAGUUGACAAGGAGUAGAGCAUGUAAAAACAUUUUCCUAUUUGAUUUAGGUUAAGGGUUAUCAAACACAUCCACCAUUCAUGUCUUCACACCUAGCUACUUUAUUGAGAAAAUUAAAAAAGAAAGAGUAGGUCCAAGAGAAAAAAUAAGUGUAUUUAACAUCAUCCUAGGUUAUUAAUAUAUAGUUAAUAAAAAAAAUUCGAAUUACCUUUAGAGAUGCCUAAGAAUCCCAAUUUGAUUGUUUCACAGACAAGUUUUCUACCCCAAGUCAUGCAUGGAACUAUAAAUGCAAGAACAACUCAAGAUUUUUAUAACACAAGAGCCUUGACCUUUGUUCUCAAGAAGAAAACUAAAAAACUUCAAGAGAGGACAUUUUUGGGAGAAACCUCUAUUAUGUUGUUAAUAAUAAUAAUAAUAAUAAUAAUAAAAAGAUACUUUCUUAAUCCAUUUUUCUCAUUAUUAUUAUUCUUUUCCAUAACUUUCGAUAGUUAAAAACUCCCAGAAAAUGCUUCGUCUACUUUUAAAAAUAUUAGAUGAGGUCGGGUUGAGCUAUAUAUAUAUAUAUAUAUAUAUAUAUAUAUAUAUAUAUAUAUAUAUAGACACACACGUAUGUAUGUAUGUAUGUAUGUAUGUAUGUAUGUAUUAUCCAAACUCAUGGAAUGACCAAUGUCUGACAUACAUUUGAUUAGGUUGUUCCUUUCUCCAAAUAGGCAUUAAUAAAUCAAUUUAUGAUUAUGCAUCAAUAUUAGUCUAAAUACCAUGUGCCAUUGAGCCUGUUAGAGAAUUAAAUUCAAGAAAUUUAGAACCAAAAGCAUUGUUUGUCAAAGAUGGAUGGUGGAUGAUGGCCCGGAAUAUUUUCCUUUUGAUCUAUGAAUGAAUGGACGAGAAACUCUUCAUGAAUGAAUCCACCUUUGAGAAGGAAUGAUGUAGACAUAUUAGAACGUUAAAGAUGGUGUGGCUUUUAGUGAAACUAGGAGUGUUGAUCAACUUAGAAAAUUGAUUGGAUGAAAUUUAACUGAAACUCCUUUGGAAUCGACUGUGGUCCAGAAUAAAUUAUUUCCUUUGCUUUAAUUUGCUUCAAAAUGGACGCCCUUCCCUACUAAGAGGUUCUUGUUGAAUAGAAGUUGACCCAACUUGUGACAUAUGAAGGAAAGAGUUGAGAAACUGGAAUCAUACCUUGUGAUUGAACUAAAGAUUGUUGCCCAACUCCUAUUGCUCAAAAUGACAGAGUUGGGCCCAUUUUGAUAAAAGAAACCAUAUCUAUCAAGUUAUUGAAAAAGCAAUUCACAUCUAUCUUUGAAGUUGAUCACACUCUACAAGGAGACGAAGUCCCCACCAACCUAUAGAGUUGGACCAUUAAAGUUUGUUGGCAUGACAGAAUUAUUUUAUCCCAAAUUCUUCAUUAAAGGUUGUUUGAAUAAGAAGAUUAUUAAUAUUGUAAUGUAUGUCCAGACUUACAUUAAAAGAGAAUUGUAGGACUACUAAAUCCAUAUAAGCAAUUCAUUUAUUGAAGUCAUAUAAUUUUGAAAUUUAAAGUAAUUGUGAUUAUGGAUAACCCAUAAUAAAUCCAAUAAAGGAAAAUUUAAAGUCAUCAUUAUAAACUAAGUGGGAGAAUGUUAGAACUAUAAGUGGUUUAAUGACCACAUUAAGUUUUCUUAAAAAAAAAAUUUCUUAAAAUGUUUUGAUUUAUUUUCUCAUGUAUGAAUUUUGAUGAAA
rnacentral:lncRNA from 1 species